rnacentral:rRNA from 1 species
GAUGAACGCUGGCGGCGUGCUUAACACAUGCAAGUAGAACGGAAAGGCCCAAGCUUGCUUGGGUACUCGAGUGGCGAACGGGUGAGUAACACGUGGGUGAUCUGCCCUGCACUUCGGGAUAAGCCUGGGAAACUGGGUCUAAUACCGGAUAGGACCACAUUUUGGAUGGUGUGGUGGAAAGUUUUUCGGUGUGGGAUGAGCUCGCGGCCUAUCAGCUUGUUGGUGGGGUAAUGGCCUACCAAGGCGUCGACGGGUAGCCGGCCUGAGAGGGUGUACGGCCACAUUGGGACUGAGAUACGGCCCAGACUCCUACGGGAGGCAGCAGUGGGGAAUAUUGCACAAUGGGCGCAAGCCUGAUGCAGCGACGCCGCGUGGGGGAUGACGGCCUUCGGGUUGUAAACUCCUUUCGCUAGGGACGAAGCGCAAGUGACGGUACCUGGAGAAGAAGCACCGGCUAACUACGUG